GCUGGGCAUGAUGGCUCAUGCCUGUAGUCCCAGCUAUUCAGGAGGCUGGGGUGGGAGGAUUGCUUGAGUCCAGAAGUUUGAGGCUGCAGUGAGCUAUGAUUGCCACUGCACUCCAGCCUGGGUGAUGGAACAAGACCCCAUCUCUU
rnacentral:SRP_RNA from 2 species